ACCCCUGUAGCUUAAUGGAAGAGCAUUUAUCUUGUAAGUAAGAAGUUGUUGGUUCAAAUCCUACCGGGGGUA
rnacentral:tRNA from 1 species